rnacentral:rRNA from 1 species
GACGUAGGUGGCGAACGUUAUCCGGAGUUACUGGGCGUAAAGAGUGCGUAGGCGGUUUUCUAAGUUUGGUGUGAAAUCUCCCGGCUUAACUGGGAGGUGCGCCGAAAACUGGAAGGCUUGAGUAUGGGAGAGGUAAGCGGAAUUCCUGGUGUAGCGGUGAAAUGCGUAGAUAUCUGGAGGAACACCGGUGGCGAAGGCGGCAUCCUGGACCGGUAUUGACGCUGAGGCGCGAAAGCUAGGGGAGCAAACGGG